rnacentral:tRNA from 1 species
GUCGCGCUCGGGGCGGAUCUCGAGGCCCAUGCGCUCGCAGCGCAUGUUGAUGACCUCUGGGCGGCCGAUCAGGAUCGGCUGCUCGGUC